rnacentral:misc_RNA from 1 species
AGAAAUGUGAAUAGCAGCUGUUUGUUUAUUUGACAUUCGCGAAUUGCAAAUGCAAAAAUUCGCCAUCAAACGAAGACGAGGAAAAUGCACCAGCGAAUAAUUGCUAUUUAUUAAAUUAGGGAAAUCUUUCUAAAAAUGACAAAAGUAUAACCAAAAUUGUAUCACUGGGACUAGCUGGAAAGGCGGGGAGUGCGUGAAAAGUGAAAAGUUGUUGGAAGUAGAGGUGAAAUAUAAAAAAGUCGGGGAUUAAUAUAGGUAACGCCACGCAAUCGCGGUUGGUGAAGACGGACGUUGCGUUCAUAGAUUGAAAUCCAUAAUAAUUAUUAAAUUUGAGGAAUAACCUCGUUACUUGUGGACCGUAAAGUCUUCAACCAACAAAUCACAAUUUAUAGCACAUUGCAUAAUAUAAUAAAGAAUUGAAGACGCAAGCAUAGCAGAAACUUUUGCACGUGGCUUUGGCCCUCAGCGGUGUCUUUGUGGAGCAACGUUGGACAUACCUGAAGAUUACUCAUAGCAGUUGGAAUAUAACAUACUAAGAGGAAUAACCUGACUAUGGGGACUAGAUAUUGGGCUUGGAUCUUACAAAGGAAGAGAAAUUGAAACAAGGGCGAUCCUGGAGUUUUUAUCCUUUUAAAUUCGAUGCCAUAAAUAUGGAAAAAUGUGGUAUAUUAAAAGACUUUUUGUUUACAAAUUAUAAUGAGGAAGGACGUGUCCUUUAUCAAUUUUCGCAAGAGGAAACAACAAGAGAAGAACUUUUCAAGCGACUAGAAUUUUCAUCUGCUGCACAAAAAGUAAUAGAAGAAAGAAACAUUUCUCAGGAAAAGGUGUAUGGUGUCAAGUUAGCACUACAUACCACUCAUUGCGGGCAGAAAAUACAAUUACAAUACAGGAACUUCACACUGCUGGAAGAGCAGAACAUUUCUAUGUAUAUUAAAAAAAAAUAAAUAAAAUAUUUAAAAAAAAAAGAUA